rnacentral:rRNA from 1 species
UGGGGAAUAUUGCACAAUGGGCGCAAGCCUGAUGCAGCCAUGCCGCGUGUAUGAAGAAGGCCUUCGGGUUGUAAAGUACUUUCAGCGAGGAGGAAGGCGGUAAGGUUAAUAACCUUAUCGAUUGACGUUACUCGCAGAAGAAGCACCGGCUAACUCCGUGCCAGCAGCCGCGGUAAUACGGAGGGGGCAAGCGUUAAUCGGAAUUACUGGGCGUAAAGCGCACGCAGGCGGUCUGUCAAGUCGGAUGUGAAAUCCCCGGGCUCAACCUGGGAACUGCAUUCGAAACUGGCAGGCUAGAGUCUUGUAGAGGGGGGUAGAAUUCCAGGUGUAGCGGUGAAUUGCGUAGAGAUCUGGAGGAAUACCGGUGGCGAAGGCGGCCCCCUGGACAAAGACUGACGCUCAGGUGCGAAAGCGUGGGGAGCAAACA